rnacentral:rRNA from 1 species
GUAGGUGGCAAGCGUUAUCCGGAAUUAUCGGGCGUAAAGCGCGCGCAGGCGGUUUCUUAAGUCUGAUGUGAAAGCCCACGGCUCAACCGUGGAGGGUCAUUGGAAACUGGGGAACUUGAGUGCAGAAGAGAAAAGCGGAAUUCCACGUGUAGCGGUGAAAUGCGUAGAGAUGUGGAGGAACACCAGUGGCGAAGGCGGCUUUUUUGGUCUGUAACUGACGCUGAGGCGCGAAAGCGUGGGGAGCAAACAGGGAUUAGAUACCCUGGUAGUCCACGCCGUAAACGAUGAGUGCUAAGUGUUAGAGGGUUUCCGCCCCUUUAGUGCUGCAGCUAACGCAUUAAGCACUCCGCCUGGGGAGUACGGUCGCAAGACUG